rnacentral:rRNA from 1 species
CAAGCGUUGUUCGGAAUUACUGGGCGUAAAGAGCUCGUAGGCGGCCAACUAAGUCGGAUGUGAAAUCCCCAAGCUUAACUUGGGAACUGCAUUCGAUACUGGAUGGCUUGAAUCCGGGAGAGGGAUGCAGAAUUCCAGGUGUAGCGGUGAAAUGCGCAGAUAUCAGGAGGAACACCGAUUGCGAAGGCAGCUCGCUGGGACGUUACUGACGCUGAGACGCGAAAGCGUGGGGAGCAAACAGG